GGGGAAUAUUGCACAAUGGGGGAAACCCUGAUGCAGCGACGCCGCGUGGAGGAAGAAGGUCUUCGGAUUGUAAACUCCUGUUGUUGAGGAAGAUAAUGACGGUACUCAACAAGGAAGUGACGGCUAACUACGUGCCAGCAGCCGCGGUAAAACGUAGGUCACAAGCGUUGUCCGGAAUUACUGGGUGUAAAGGGAGCGCAGGCGGGAGAACAAGUUGGAAGUGAAAUCCAUGGGCUCAACCCAUGAACUGCUUUCAAAACUGUUUUUCUUGAGUAGUGCAGAGGUAGGCGGAAUUCCCGGUGUAGCGGUGGAAUGCGUAGAUAUCGGGAGGAACACCAGUGGCGAAGGCGGCCUACUGGGCACCAACUGACGCUGAGGCUCGAAAGUGUGGGUAGCAAACAGGAUUAGAUACCCUGGUAGUCCACACCGUAAACGAUGAUUACUAGGUGUUGGAGGAUUGACCCCUUCAGUGCCGCAGUUAACACAAUAAGUAAUCCACCUGGGGAGUACGACCGCAAGGUUGAAACUCAAAGGAAUUGACGGGGGCCCGCACAAGCAGUGGAGUAUGUGGUUUAAUUCGACGCAACGCGAAGAACCUUACCAAGUCUUGACAUCCCUUGACGAUGCUGGAAACAGCAUUUCUCUUCGGAGCAAGGAGACAGGUGGUGCAUGGUUGUCGUCAGCUCGUGUCGUGAGAUGUUGGGUUAAGUCCCGCAACGAGCGCAACCCUUAUGGUCAGUUACUACGCAAGAGGACUCUGGCCAGACUGCCGUUGACAAAACGGAGGAAGGUGGGGAUGACGUCAAAUCAUCAUGCCCUUUAUGACUUGGGCUACACACGUACUACAAUGGCGUUAAACAAAGAGAAGCAAGACCGCGAGGUGGAGCAAAACUCAAAAACAACGUCUCAGUUCAGAUUGCAGGCUGCAACUCGCCUGCAUGAAGUCGGAAUUGCUAGUAAUCGCGGAUCAGCAUGCCGCGGUGAAUACGUUCCCG
rnacentral:rRNA from 1 species